rnacentral:ncRNA from 20 species
GCUGCCUUGCGUGACUGGCGAGAAGGGGUGGAGCCAACCACCGUGGAGCGCGAGGCAAUCGCGCCGCUCGCCUGGGCACCCUUU